rnacentral:rRNA from 1 species
AUUGAACGCUGGCGGCAGGCCUAACACAUGCAAGUCGAACGAGUGGCGGACGGGUGAGUAAUGUCUGGGAAACUGCCUGAUGGAGGGGGAUAACUACUGGAAACGGUAGCUAAUACCGCAUACCAUCAGAUGUGCCACGAUGGGAUUAGCUCGUUGGUGGGGUAACGGCUCACCAAGGCGCCGAUCCGUAACUGGUCUGAGAGGAUGAUCAGUCACACUGGAACGUAGAAACGGUCCAGCCUCCUACGGGAGGCAGCAUGGGGGAAUAUUGGACAAUGGGCUGAAGCCUGAUCCAGCCAUGCCGCGUGUGUGAAGAAGGUCUUCGGAGUGUAAAGCACUUUAAGUUGGGAGGCGUUACCAACAGAAUAAGCACCGGCUAACUUCGUGCCAGCAGCCGCGGUAAUUC